GACGAACGCUGGCGGCGUGCCUAAUACAUGCAAGUCGAACGCAGUGGGGACGGGUGAGUAACACGUGGGUAACCUCCCAUCAGAGGGGAUAACACUUGGAAACAGGUGCUAAACCGAUAUAGAUGGAUGGACACGCGGUGCAUUAGCUUGUUGGUGAGGUAACGGCUCACCAAGGACACGAUGCAUCGCCGCCCUGGGAGGGGGAUCGGCCACACUGUGACUGAGACACGGCCCAGACUCCUAAGGGAGGCAGCAGUAGGGAAUCUGCUGAAAUGGACGAAAGUCUGACCGAGCAACGCCUCGUGAGUGAAGAAGGUUUUCGGAUCGUAAAACUCUGGUUUUAGAGAAGCGGUAUCUAACCAGAAAGCCACGGCUAACUACGUGCCAGCAGCCGCGGUAAUUC
rnacentral:rRNA from 1 species